UUGGGUUAAGUCCCGCAACGAGCGCAACCCUUGAUCUUAGUUGCCAGCAUUCAGUUGGGCACUCUAAGGUGACUGCCGGUGACAAACCGGAGGAAGGUGGGGAUGACGUCAAAUCAUCAUGCCCCUUAUGACCUGGGCUACACACGUGCUACAAUGGACGGUACAAAGGGCUGCAAACCCGUGAGGGGGAGCCAAUCCCAGAAAACCGUUCUCAGUUCGGAUUGCAGGCUGCAACUCGCCUGCAUGAAGCCGGAAUCGCUAGUAAUCGUGGAUCAGCAUGCCACGGUGAAUACGUUCCCGGGCCUUGUACACACCGCCCGUCACACCACGAGAGUUUGUAACACCCGAAGUCGGUGAGGUAACCCUUGUGGAGCCAGCCGCCGAAGGUGGGACAGAUGAUUGGGGUGAAGUCGUAACAAGGUAACCAAGCCGAAUUCU
rnacentral:rRNA from 1 species